rnacentral:rRNA from 1 species
GUGGGGAAUAUUGGGCAAUGGGCGAAAGCCUGACCCAGCAACGCCGCGUGAAGGAAGAAGGUUUUCGGAUUGUAAACUUCUAUCCUUGGUGAAGAUAAUGACGGUAGCCAAGAAGGAAGCCCCGGCUAACUACGUGCCAGCAGCCGCGGUAAUACGUAGGGGGCAAGCGUUGUCCGGAAUGAUUGGGCGUAAAGGGCGCGUAGGCGGCCCGGUAAGUCUGAAGUGAAAGUCCUGCUUUUAAGGUGGGAAUUGCUUUGGAUACUGUCGGGCUUGAGUGCAAGAGAUGUAAGCGGAAUUCCCGGUGUAGCGGUGAAAUGCGGAGAGAUCGGGAGGAACACCAGUGGCGAAGGCGGCUUACUGGACUGUAACUGACGCUGAGGCGCGAAAGUGUGGGGAGCAAACAGGAUUAGAUACCCGAGUAGUCC